rnacentral:RNase_P_RNA from 1 species
GGGAGAGGUCGGGCAACCCUCGGGUGCUUUGCACCUGAGGAAAGUCCCCCUCCGUCGGGGGGCGCGGCGCCGUGAGGCGCCAACCGAGAGGUUGGGGGUAAAGCCUAAGAAACGACACGUCCACUAGCACAUGGCUAUGAUUGGCUUAAAACCUUGAGGACGCUAGUGGAAUCGUUGAAACGUGGCGACCCCCGCGCGGAAUAAGGCUACCGCAAUGAGAUCCCCGACGAGCGGUAAGCUGCAUAGUCGAAUGUUGCCUAAACAGAAGGGGGAUUACGAACCUCACCC